rnacentral:rRNA from 1 species
AAUCAAGUUAGUAAGGGCAUACAGUGGAUGCCUUGGCGCUAGGAGGCGAUGAAAGACGUGGUAAGCUGCGAUAAGCUUCGGGGAGCCGCUGAACAGGCUGAGAGCCGGAGAUCUCUGAAUGGGAAAACCCACUAGGAGUAAUGUCCUAGUAUCUGCUGCUGAAUCCAUAGGCAGUAGAGGCAAACGUCGGGAACUGAAACAUCUAAGUACCCUCAGGAAAAGAAGGAAAUUCGAGUCCCUGAGUAGUGGCGAGCGAAAGGGGAAGAGCCUAAACCAAGUAUACGUAUAGCCCGUGAGCGUUGUAUACUUGGGGUUGUGGGGCUUUAUCGGAUAAGGUCAUGGACUUAUUGAGAAGUUAAAAAUUCGGAUUUCUAGCCGAAUAGGCUUGGAAAAGUCAACCAUAGAAGGUGAUAGUCCUGUAGGUGAAAGAAACCGAACUUCUUGGAUAAAGUACCCAAGUACCACGGGACACGGGGAAUCUCGUGGGAAGCAGGGAGGACCAUCUCCCAAGGCUAAAUACUACCUAGCGACCGAUAGUGAACUAGUACCGUGAGGGAAAGGUGAAAAGUACGGAGAUGAUCCGAGUGAAAUAGUACCUGAAACUGUAUGCUUACAAGCGGUAGAAGUUCGGUCUAUAGUAUGCUCUGUAGCAAUACAGGGUCCACUAUAGCGAAUGACUGCGUGCCUUUUGUAUAAUGAGUCAGCGAGUUAUUUUGUGUAGCAAGGUUAAGCCGUUAAGGUGGAGCCGUAGCGAAAGCGAGUCUUAAAAGGGCGCUAAGUUGCACGGA